rnacentral:rRNA from 1 species
GAUGAACGCUAGCGGGAGGCUUAACACAUGCAAGUCGAGGGGCAGCAUAGGGUAGCAAUACUCUGAUGGCGACCGGCAAACGGGUGAGUAACGCGUAUGCAACCUACCCUGUACAGGGGGAUAACCCGGAGAAAUUCGGACUAAUAUCCCGUAAUAAUAUCCGGAGGCAUCUUUGGAUAUUUAAAGUUCCGACGGUACGGGAUGGGCAUGCGUAACAUUAGCUGGUUGGUAAGGUAACGGCUUACCAAGGCUAUGAUGUUUAGGGGUCCUGAGAGGGUGGUCCCCCACACUGGUACUGAGACACGGACCAGACUCCUACGGGAGGCAGCAGUGAGGAAUAUUGGUCAAUGGGCGCAAGCCUGAACCAGCCAUCCCGCGUGCAGGAAGACGGCCCUAUGGGUUGUAAACUGCUUUUCCAGGGAGAGAAACUUACGCACGUGUUGCGUGACUGACGGUACCCUGGGAAUAAGCAUCGGCUAACUCCGUGCCAGCAGCCGCGGUAAACUCGUCUCU